rnacentral:rRNA from 1 species
UACGGGGGGGGCAAGCGUUGUUCGGAAUUACUGGGCGUAAAGGGCGCGUAGGCGGCCUUCUAAGUCAGACGUGAAAUCCCUCGGCUCAACCGAGGAACUGCGUCUGAUACUGGAAGGCUUGAAUCCGGGAGAGGGAUGUGGAAUUCCAGGUGUAGCGGUGAAAUUCGUAGAUAUUCGGAAGAACACCAGUGGCGAAGGCGGCUCACUGGACCGGUAUUGACGCUGAGGUGCGAAAGCGUGGGGAGCAAACAGG